rnacentral:rRNA from 1 species
GCUCAGGAUGAACGCUGGCGGCGUGCCUAAUACAUGCAAGUCGAACGCUUCACUUCGGUGAAGAGUGGCGAACGGGUGAGUAAUACAUAAGUAACCUGGCAUCUACAGGGGGAUAACUGAUGGAAACGUCAGCUAAGACCGCAUAGGUGUAGAGAUCGCAUGAACUCUAUAUGAAAAGUGCUACGGGACUGGUAGAUGAUGGACUUAUGGCGCAUUAGCUGGUUGGUAGGGUAACGGCCUACCAAGGCGACGAUGCGUAGCCGACCUGAGAGGGUGACCGGCCACACUGGGACUGAGACACGGCCCAGACUCCUACGGGAGGCAGCAGUAGGGAAUUUUCGGCAAUGGGGGAAACCCUGACCGAGCAACGCCGCGUGAAGGAAGAAGUAAUUCGUUAUGUAAACUUCUGUCAUAGAGGAAGAACGGUGGAUAUAGGGAAUGAUAUCCAAGUGACGGUACUCUAUAAGAAAGCCACGGCUAACUACGUGCCAGCAGCCGCGGUAAUACGUAGGUGGCGAGCGUUAUCCGGAAUUAUUGGGCGUAAAGAGGGAGCAGGCGGCACUAAGGGUCUGUGGUGAAAGAUCGAAGCUUAACUUCGGUAAGCCAUGGAAACCGUAGAGCUAGAGUGUGUGAGAGGAUCGUGGAAUUCCAUGUGUAGCGGUGAAAUGCGUAGAUAUAUGGAGGAACACCAGUGGCGAAGGCGACGAUCUGGCGCAUAACUGACGCUCAGUCCCGAAAGCGUGGGGAGCAAAUAGGAUUAGAUACCCUAGUAGUCCACGCCGUAAACGAUGAGUACUAAGUGUUGGGGGUCAAACCUCAGUGCUGCAGUUAACGCAAUAAGUACUCCGCCUGAGUAGUACGUUCGCAAGAAUGAAACUCAAAGGAAUUGACGGG